CCGAAGUUGUCGGGAAGGCCAUCGCGGGGAGCCCCAGCCGGAAUUUCAUGGACGGACGCGUGCAGAGAGGGGCCGGCGGGCUCCCGUGCACCUCAGCCGGCCUGUGCACUGCGGCAGGUGCACCCAGGAGGCCUGCCCAGACAGCCAGCCAGCAGCUCCUAUAAAGGCCCACAGGCAGACAGGCUCCACCCCUUCAUGAAUGGCGGUGAGCCCUGGGACAGCCAGCCCCACCCCGGAAGGGUCCCAGGGCGUCGAGGCCUGUGGCCGGGGGGUUGUGGGGUGGGGAGGGAGGGCGUGGUGAUGCUGGUGGUGGGGCCGGAGAGACGAAGAGGAAGGGGGCGAGGGGGAAGGGGUGAUGGGGGCUGGCUCUCCGGACAUCUCCAGGAAUCCAGCAGGAACUGGAAGCCGCUCUCUGAUCUCCCAGGCGUCUUCAGCAGGGCGAAACUGGCCUGGGUGGGUGGAGGGGAGUGUGGAACUGAACCUCCAUGGGAUUCUUGAGUGUUCCCGGCCCUCUCUCCAUGAAGAAGGCAGUGCCUGUGGGUGUCGCCGUUGCCGGGACUGUCUGAAACACGCAGGCGUGUGGCUCUCGUUCAUUUCUAAGUAGGAGACCAGACCGAGACCCCAGAGAGAAGAUGCCUCUCCGGCGUGAUGGCCUGACGAUGGAUUCCCUUAUGCGGCAACUUGGGGAGUCUGCAGUGUGGCCGGUUUGGAAACUGGCAAGGAGAGCGAAGGCACCAUGCCAGUGUUCCACCCUUAGCUGCAUGUUUCCGAGUGCCCGCAGAGCUGCCGGAGCAAACAGUCAGCAUGACACAUCUCUGAACUGAUCAACAAAGUGAUGUAACACUUGUCUAGGCUCUGCCUACAGGGGCAAUUUAACAAAUCACUGCACUGAUCACCGAGAUGAUGUAACUCUCUUAUAGGCUUCACCAAGAGGGGGCAUUGAGACAUAUCUCUGCAUUGAUCACCGAGGUGAUGCAACUCUUGUCUGGGAUCUGCUUACCGGGGGCAUUGUGACAUAUCCCUGCCCUCAUCACCCAGGUGAUGUAACUUUUGUCUAGGCUCUGCCUACUGGAGACAUUGUGACAUAUCUCCACAAUGAUCAACCUGGUGAAGUCACUUUUGUCAAGGAUAUGGCUACAGGGACAUUGUGACAUGUCACUGCACUGAUCACACAGCUGAUGUAACUCUUGUCUAGACUCUGGCUAUAGGGGGCUUGUGAGACAUCUCUGCACUGAUCACCCAGGUGAUGUAACCCUUGUCUAGCCUCUGCCAAAAGGGGGCAUUGUGACAUAACUCUGCACUGAUCACCCAGGUGAUGGGACUCUUGUCUAGGCUCUGCCUACAGGGGCAUUGUGACAUAUCUCUGCAGUGAUCACGCAGGUGAUGUAACUCUUGUCUAUAUCUGCCUAUUGGCGGCAUUGUGGCAUAUUUCUGCACUGAUCACUCAGGUGAUGGACUCUUGUCUUGGAUCUGACUAUGGGGGCAUAGUGACAUAUCUCUGCACUGAUCACUCAUGUGAUGUAAUGCUUGUCUAAGCUGCGGCAAAAGAGGAAUUGUGACAGAUAUCUCCACUGAUUACCCAGGUGAUGU
rnacentral:lncRNA from 10 species